rnacentral:rRNA from 3 species
UGGGGAAUAUUGGGCAAUGGGGGAAACCCUGACCCAGCAACGCCGCGUGAAGGAAGAAGGCCUUCGGGUUGUAAACUUCUUUGACAGGGGACGAAACAAAUGACGGUACCCUGAAAACAAGCCACGGCUAACUACGUGCCAGCAGCCGCGGUAAUACGUAGGUGGCGAGCGUUAUCCGGAAUUACUGGGUGUAAAGGGCGCGUAGGCGGGGAUGCAAGUCAGGUGUGAAAUCUAUGGGCUUAACCCAUAAACUGCACUUGAAACUGUGUCUCUUGAGUGAUGGAGAGGUAAGUGGAAUUCCUAGUGUAGCGGUGGAAUGCGUAGAUAUUAGGAGGAACACCAGUGGCGAAGGCGACUUACUGGACAUUAACUGACGCUGAGGCGCGAAAGCGUGGGGAGCAAACAGG